rnacentral:lncRNA from 1 species
UUCACGCCACCAGCUCUAUCUCUCCCUAAUUCAAAUUUCAAAUCUUAUAUCUCUCUCUCCUACCACACACAGCUCUCUCUUAUUCCCCCGAACAAUUCCAUCCCUCAAAACUCUCUUAAAUCUCUUAUACCCAAUACCCAGCCCUAAUUUCAGCCCCAAAUAUCUCAUACCCAACCCCUAAUCUACAAGCCAGAGCAUAGAGAAAGCACCAACAAGUCGCAGUCAUCUCUCUCUCUUCUACUCUCCCGCCAACGUAGCAACGAUUCGCCGGUGCGAUAACGGCAGCGUAGCAUACACAGUCGCUAUUUUAGCCCAAUCUCUCUCUUUCUCUCUGAACUCGGUACUAUUAGAGAGUAAAAAAGUUUGAAGUGCAACCGACCAUGAAUGAGAAAGCCAGAGUCUCCAAAGAACUCAAUACCAAACACCGACAGGUUUUAUCCUUUUUUCUGUUUUACAACUUGAUUUUUUAUCAUAUUUUGGUGAUAUUGCUUCGAUAUGUGAUUUUUCAUGAUUUUCAGAAUGAAAUUUUAUUACCCUUUUCUUUGGUUUACUGAUAUGCUUAAUUUAAGCUUAGUUUGAAUAUACUCGUUUUUUUUCUGGAUCAUUAUUAGGCAUUUAUUUUGAUUUUAUAGUUUUUAUUGAUGGUUAUUUUGUUCUGGGUAUUUUUGUUUAUAGCUAUUAUAUGUUUAUGUUCUUUUUUUUUGUUGUUGUUUAUGUUCUGAGAGAGAAAUUCAAAAUUUUUCUGAUCCAUUAUUGUGUUCUUCCUAUUUUUUCAAAAUACUGAUCAAAUUAUUCAAUAAGUUGUUAUUUUUUAACAAUUUAUAAUUAUUAACUUUGUUUUUUGACGAACUAAAUUUAUUUCAACUUUAAAUAUAUUUUAAUUGUUUGUUGAUACUCGGGAAAAGAAAGACAUACCAUACCCAUACUCAUACUCAACAAAUUUAGUGAGUUGGGACUGGAAUUACCCAUAAAGCCGGCCAAGUUGCACCCCUAAAGUGGAGUACUAUUUUGAGAUCUGUUGAGCCACUGAAUUCAAAGACUAUCAAGUAGUAUCAAACAAAGAGAGCGCCCCAAAGAGACAAUGAUUAAGAGAAGAAGAAUAAUUCUUCAAAAAUACUCCAAUAAUUAUAUAUUUAGUAUACAAAGUUUCAUUAAAUAUAACAUAACAUUUAAUAGUAAUUUAAGAAUCAAUUAUAGAGGGUGAUCGAGCGAGAGCAAUGAUUUUCGUGAGUUUGUUGGUUGGAAGCUCAGAGUAACUUCUUGUGUUUGGAAUUGAAUUUAUUAGUCACAUAACAAAAGAUUUAUAACACACAAGCAAGCACAACAGAUUUAUAGCAAAAAAGCUCUUGUAAAUUGAUCUGACUUGAUCACUAACCAGAUUGCAAUUACUGCUCGACCCAAGAAUAAAAUAAGUACUACUAAAAGUUAUUUGUGCUGGAGUAGGCCCCUCCUAGCAAUAGCAUACAGUUACAAUUUUAGAUACUACUCCUAAUGAGGAACAGGGAGACCUUGAAGCAUGGCUUCAUGACAACACAUAGCAAUUGUCUGAAACUUGAAAUCACUCGAAAACAAGCGAGCAACCGAGUUGGUAUUAAUGCUCAUCUCUUCAAUGAGUUGAAGCAGGAUGCGCACAAGUUCUUCCCCAUCACUCCAUUCAUGAAUUUUGAUCUUUAUAAUAUCUCGCCUUUUGCAUAUCAAAUCCCAAACUGGGAAAUUCUUCUUCGGCAUCGCAUAAUCUCCUUCUUUUAGCUUCGAUAUCGGGCAAUAAUCUUCGGUACCAUCCCCGACAUAGCUUAUCAUUUUCUUCUUCUCUUCUUCCUUAGCUAGAGAAGCUUGUAUCCUUUCUAUUAUCAGACCCUAUUAAACCUCUAAAACCAAAGCAUGUACACUAAAAAUUUUCAAUUUAAUUACGUCUACAUUGACCAAGUGUCACCAUCCCUAACCAUGAAGUGAAGGGCCUAUGAUUGUGAUUAUAUUGUACAAAUCCAAAUAUUCAUGGUUUUUUUACUAUGUUUGGAGUUAAUGGUGUAUUUUGUUAUACUUAUAGUACCAAUUUUUGUUUAGGAAAAUAAGUGGUAAAAAAAAUAUUUGAGUUUCCCUUUUGACUUUGUGUGCCAUAAGUGGUAAAAAAAAUAUUUGAGUUUCUUUGUAAAUUCAUUUUCUUUAAUUUAACUUGUGGUUACUGCUUAGUAAGUAGUUAGUGGUUACGCUAACAUGAUUAGUUUUCAAAUUGGCUUAACUAAUUAAGGAUAGAAGGAAUCAGUUAUCAUUCACAAUUAUAAGUUGUUUGUCUUAUAAGCUGUUUGCCAGGAGGUCUUGCUUUAGUAGUUUUUUCAUUGGUAGCCUUGUUAGAUUUCUUUUGUGAUUGAGGCUGACAUCUAUCUUGCUGUAGAGUUGAUUAGUUUUCAAAUUGUUUUGGAAUAAUAAAAUUAUUGAGUAAUCAUGGAACGUGAAAUGAUUAGCUGUAAGACGAUCUCACAGGUAGAUGAAUCAUGUGAGGCCCAUUUGUGGUGCUUGUGUAUCAUGUCUUUUAGAGGGAUGAUAGAUCAGAUUUUUUAAUUUAUUUACUAUUUCGAUAAGUAGGAGAGGUGACCUUUAGAUGAAUGAUAGAUAUGCUUUUGUGCGGAACAAAGACCAUUUGUACAAGUAUGUAACAAAAUAUAUAACAAUGAUAUAUUGUUUUAUAGCGUAGGAGAGAGAUGUUAUGUCAUGGAGAGCAUGUGCACAAGUGUCUAAAAGAAUAAAGAACAAUGUUUUUACGAGGAUUUAUAUUGCUAAUGAUGAAUUAGCCUAGGAAAACUAGAAAAAGGCAUUCAUGUCAAGUGAACAACUGAUCAAAUAUGAAAUUAAUGAUUUGGCAGUGGGAGAUCCUGGUGUACUAGAAAAUCUAAAGUAUUGUUAUUAUUAUCAUUAGCUUUAGAACUUUCAGAAAGUCUACUUUAGUAUGGAACCCAAGCUUCUUCAUUUGCAUCCUGUUUUUAAGUUGGGGAAAGAAGGGAAGGGAAAAUUGGGACACUUGAAACUUUUAAUUUUUUUUGGAAGAGAGGCUCCAAGUUUCGCUUCCAUUACUGCCGGAAUAAAACUCAAAAAAAAGGCCAUUAGCUAAUUACACAGUUAAUGCACUUGUUUUAGAUGAUAAAGAUAGUCAUUACCAUAUAUUCUUACUUCAGUAAGUAGUUGUUGAGGAGUGGAUAGAUAAAUACAACCUUGGAAGAAUUAAUUUUUUUAACAAACUAAAAUAUAACUACUUUAGUAGCAGGAUGAACUAUAUCUAUAAUAUAAAACAGAGCAGAGAGAGAAAAAAGAUAAGUGUCCCAUCCGAGUACACGUCAGCAGCUCUCUCUCUUGUCCUUCGUAUUCAAAUUUCAAACCCACACAGAGAGCUCUUAUUCCACAUCUUUACUGCAUCAAAUACCUACUGUGAGGCCACAAUCCUGUAUGACUUUAGUUGGACAUGGAUUUACUUUAGGCCACAAUCCACAAUCACGUAACAACUCCGACUGAAGCUAUAGAGUCGCCGAUGAUAAUUGACACUGAUAGAGAGUCGAAGAUUAUGAUGGAAGCUAUGGGUCGCACACGUAACUCACUUUUGGGGCUAAUCAAAGAAGUUGACUGAAUUUUUUGGGACUAAUUUGAAGGUAUUUUUAAUGAUCUGAAAAUGGGUUUGAAACCCACUUUGAAUUCGCGAUUGUUGGCUAUAGGAAUCGAGCACGAAGGGGGUAAACAGGUAAUAAUUUUUUUAUUUGGGCUUUUUUUACCCGUAUUUCUGUACCAAUGGAGUAUCGAUCUAUCGCCCACUACAUGCGAUUCAGCUGUGAUUCGUACGAUUCUUAUACAAAGAUCAAUUCUGCUACGAUUAUGAAUUGAUUCUCUCCUGUUUCGUGUCGAAUCGUACAUAUGUAUUGCGUAUAGUACGAUUUUGACAACUAUGGUUCUUUGGUUAUUCUUUUGACCCAAACUGAAUAAAAAAACUGCCAUAAAUGAGUUACCAUAAGAUUGAAUGUGAUCAGAUUCAAAGGAGAUAAAUAGAUGGAAUAAACAAUUGAAACAUGGAAGAAUCACCUUGAACUAAAUGUUCUUCAAUGUCCUCUUUAUAUUGUAUGAUUCAUUCUAAAGAUGCCAGGUGGAGUCCUUGGUUGUAGAGACUAUGCUUUGGCAUUUAGUAUAUUUAAUUAUAGAUGUUAUGUCAUUUGUCAUUUCACCUGGGAUUUGUUAUGUAUGUCUUGUGGUGCACUGUGAUUAAUUAUACAGGCCAUUAGUAUAGAUUAAUUGUUUCCAUGGAAUUACUCAGAACCUUGUCUUCACUCAGGCUUUCCAGCCUUGAGAUUAAAGACUUGACCCAAAGAC